CAGUUAUUCUUCUUGGAAAAUGAAAAUCAAUUUAGAAGUAAAAGAAAACUCCUUAAUUUUGGUCAAGCAAGGCACGACGUUGGAUAUCUGCAUUUAUUAGAUGGAUAUGAUACUUGUUGCAUAUGGAAAAUCCUCCAAACAAUGGUCUUCGACACUGUACUAGCUCGCCCAAGAAAAUGAAAAGUAUCAUGCCUAUUACACCUGCAGCAAUGUCUUGCUUGCCACUCAUCUGAUAACAAUGUGAUUGUUGUAGCGAUGGAUGAUUCAAUAAUCAUUGUCUACAAUGUCUGUUUGGAGGAGGUACAUAGAUGGUUUUUGUUUUCACAAUUGCCUGCUGAGAUGACUAUUUGGAGUAGAAACAUGCUCGACAAUGGCUAAAAGUUAUGCAUUCUGUUUUAUAAGCUUCUAUAAUAGGAGUAGGAUUUUUUGAGGCAUCAUAGGAGGAUCUCUGUUGCGGAGAGGAUUGGAGGAAGAGUCUAAAGCUAGAUGCAGGCUCAUGCAAGUAGUUAAGAAGAAAAUAUAUUCUAUUUUAACCUUUGUGGCUCUCGAGUCAAAAUGACUCAUUGACAGAGUUUGUAGGUGGUGCCAUGGUGAUUUGGUUUGCAAUUGGAAAGAGCAGCAUAACUUUUAUAAAACCAAUCCCCUUUAUGCAUAUUUUGGAAGAUAUCUAGAAAACAACUAUUCCUCAUGAGUAUGAAAAGUUGUCCUUAUCUUUGUAUAGUUCAGAUGCUUUCAAGAUUUGUAUUUUUUAUGUAAUGAUUAGUCUUUAAAUAAAUUGGAUCAAUCAAUGGUGAUAUUUCUGGAUUUCGUGCACC